rnacentral:rRNA from 1 species
CUACGGAGGGUCCGAGCGUUAUCCGGAAUCAUUGGGUUUAAAGGGUCCGUAGGCGGGAAUCUAAGUCAGUGGUGAAAUCUUGCAGCUCAACUGUAAAAUUGCCAUUGAUACUGGAUUUCUUGAAUUAGUGUGAAGUGGUUAGAAUGUGUAGUGUAGCGGUGAAAUGCAUAGAUAUUACACAGAAUACCAAUUGCGAAGGCAGAUCACUAACACUAUAUUGACGCUAAGGGACGAAAGCGUGGGGAGCGAACAGGAUUAGAAACCCUUGUAGUCC